UACGUAGGGUGCGAGCGUUAAUCGGAAUUACUGGGCGUAAAGCGUGCGCAGGCGGUUUUGUAAGCCAGAUGUGAAAGCCCCGGGCUUAACCUGGGAAUGGCAUUUGGGACUGCAAGGCUCGAGUUUGGGAGAGGGACGCGGAAUUCCAGGUGUAGCGGUGAAAUGCGUAGAUAUCUGGAGGAACACCGGUGGCGAAGGCGGCAUCCUGGACCGGUAUUGACGCUGAGGCGCGAAAGCCAGGGGAGCAAACGGG
rnacentral:rRNA from 1 species